CACGGCUGCAUUUUUACCUGUUAAGGGACUUUGCAUUUUAAUAGAAUCGAGGGCUGUAUGGGGACAGAUAGUGUGUUGCAGGAAGUGUACGGAGAAGAGCAGGCAGGUUUUAUCAGUUGCGGCGUUCCAGCGUUCACCGAUCCGGCUCCCAUUGUAAAACGGAAGGAUUCUAGGCUGAACGCGAUGAUGGAUAGGAACUCAUAACGGCGAGAAAUGGCAGUGAACGGACCGCGAAGAAAAGGAACACGGGAUGUCGUUGUUGGGAAAUGUGGCUGGCCCUGAUCUCACCUUGCUGCUGACCCGUUUCCUGCGCACUGAUACCAUUUCCUGUUUCGUAGCUGAACUGGUAGUUGCCGUCGCCGCUGUUCUGAUUGUUGAACGAGACGAUGGGUAUCUCCUGGCCACCACCGGGACCUCCUCUUGGUCCACCGCCACCGGCUAAAACAUUCGGUUAUUUCUCUCGCUUACCACUUUCGAUGACACGCUUUAAGUAUCGCAAUCGUGAUUCGUGAAAAUUUCACUCGAAUCAUUCCCUGGUCGAUGUUGCACAACGUGCCAGAGAUACUCUCCGGUUUCUACGAUUCGUUUACCAUAAAAAUGAUAAAUGAACGUUCGCAAUUAGUUCGUAUGAGAAGGUGAUUUACCAGAGACGUAACCAGGAAGAAGAGGGACAUUUAUCAUCAGGAACAGACUUAUGCAACACUUAAUACAUUGUAAAAGCAAUGGUACAAUCGAUAAAUAGUCGACCAUUACUGCGAACACAUUAGGAAACCUGAAAGACAUUACGCGUUUCCACAUUAGGAAACGCGAACGAUUUGGUGACGAACGGCCGAUAGAAAUGCAAAUAACCAAUCAUCCUUAACAGAAGCAAUUAGUCAGGCUUUCAAGCGGUCUUCGCAGAAUACUCCUCGUUUCAUCCCACAUGGCAUAAUCGGCUUUUUAUCGAUCGACCUAUCCGUGCAAUCUCAGAUUACAUCAUACUAGGUGAAAUCCACGAACAUACUCGAGAUUAAUUCGUAACUGAAUGGAGCCUAAUUACUGGGUCGUUGGCGGUAUACCGUAGAAAAGGAGACACACGAGAGACUCUACUCUGAUCUCAAUUUUCGCAACGGAUUCCCACGGUAUUCGAAUCGUGGCCGAACGAUUGCCAGGACCCCGUGAGCUCGUCUUCAUUAGACGAGGGAUACAGUGAUUAGACGUUUCACGGUUCUCACUUUUAUUUCAUGAUAUGUGUCUACUUUUUAUACAGGUUGUACAAUUAACGGAGCACAGUUUUUAUAUGACGAGUUGCAACAAAAACGUGGUAACUUAUUAAUUUAGAUAACGAGAAGCCACAAAGUGUGGGAGUAUGGGAAUUCGAAAAUAUAGAAAAUUUGGAAAUAUAGAAAUUUUCAAGAAAAGUUGGUGCCUGUAAAAGAACCGUAUGCAGUGAAUAUUUUUUGUGCCAGUUUGGAGACAACCUGUAUUUCGUAGCGAGUCGAACAACGAUGAAUCUCCCAUCGCGCGAUUUCUCUCCCUCUAAGCGUGGUAAAAAACGCAGUGUAAUUUCAUUUCGUGAUCUAAUGCGUUGACGUCCUGAUGUAUGUUGCUCUUUUUGUAACACGCGAUGUGAUGAAAUCUCAUUUAUGGGUUUACAGAAACGAUGUGUACUGGAGCGAACAAGGAAAGCAAAGAAUUUUAACGAAAAAGUACUACAGAUGAAAAGAGAACUUCUUCCAAACAUAAUUUUUCAAACUAUUUGGUUAGAUAACGAAGAAUAAUGACCGCUAUGAAAAAUGAUAUUACUUUCGAUAAACUUUAAUAUCGUCACGUACGCUAUGCGAUUACCCCGUUAUUACUAUAUUACGAGAAGUAAUUUACUUGUACCUUUUACGCAAAUUAUAGUAAUCUAUCGUGAGGAAAUCGAUAUUAAUGAACGUCUAACUAGGAAUCAUCUUUAAGUAGUUGCAUAAUAACACGCCACUAUAAAUUAUUAUUCUCAAAAUUGUCAUACAUGCAAUUUUAAUAUUGGAGGAAAUUUAAUUCAAUAAUAUUUGUGUUGAGUUUGCUUAUACAACUUCAAUUACUUCAAAAACUUGAAGACUCAUUAGACGAUUAAAUAAUCUUCCAGUACUUACGUCCUCCAAAUCCACCUCCACCGCCACCUCCGUAAGCGCCACCUCCUCCACCACC